GUCCCCUUGGAUUUUAUUGCUUUUCAAAAAGAAAACGCUUUUUCUCUCUCACUCUUAGUUCUGCAUCUUUAGAAAUCAAGGUGUUUUAUUAUUAUUAUUAUUAUUCAACGUUUGCUCUGAAUGUCCCCCAAAUAUCUAUGAUGUCCAGGACCUUCGAAAACAAUUUUGCUUCUGACCAAGGUUGAAGCUUUGUAAAUUUAAAUUCUAGAAAUGAAACUUUUAAAGAGCAACAAAUAUUGAAAAUAAAUAUAAAUCAUUUAUAUUGUGCAGAGUAAGGGCUUUUUUUUUUUUUUUUUUUUUUUUCAGUAUGUGAAGUGAUUUUUUUCCAAAAGUCAAUGGCAUAAACAAGAGGGAAAUUAUUCAAAUAAAUGUGUAAGAAAGUCCGCCACGUCCUACCCAAAAAUUUCCAAGCAAGUCUGGUCAGGUUGGUCAAAGGAUCAUUGCUGAGACUUGGAGUAAGGGAGAGAUUGAUGUGAGGAUCUACACAGCAAGGAAGAGCAUAAGAAACAUAAGUGAGGU
rnacentral:lncRNA from 12 species